rnacentral:lncRNA from 1 species
UGAAUAUGAAUGACAAACGUUGUGGAAUUGUAUUGCAACCUGUUCAACUUGAGUAGAUCUGGGAUUCGAGAAAUGACUGCUGAUCUGAAAACAUCAGCUUCUUUGCCUCUCAGUUACCGCAAUAUGUCAUCAAUAAAUGCAAAAGCAAGAAUAAGCUCAUCAACAGCUUUUAUAAAACUGUCCAAAGCAGAAAGAUACUAAUGUGUGAUGGCAUGAAUUAAGCCGUACACCUAAAAUUAGUAGCAUGUCCUCUUAAAUAAUUGAAUUCAUUGAUGCUUGACAGAAGAACACGGAACAGAAAGAGUUGGCAAAGAAAAGUACCUGAUGCAGCUGACCUCUCUCACAUAUAUUCAGUAAGCAAUGUGCAUCCCAGUCUUCCUCUGGCAAAACUUCUAUAAGUGCAGUCAGUUGCUUCUGUUUCCUAUUGAAGGUUUCAACUAUCCGCCCAGAAUCA